rnacentral:rRNA from 1 species
GACGAACGCUGGCGGCGUGCUUAACACAUGCAAGUCGAACGGAAAGGCCCUGCUUUUGUGGGGUGCUCGAGUGGCGAACGGGUGAGUAACACGUGAGUAACCUGCCCUUGACUUUGGGAUAACUUCAGGAAACUGGGGCUAAUACCGGAUAGGAGCUCCUGCUGCAUGGUGGGGGUUGGAAAGUUUCGGCGGUUGGGGAUGGACUCGCGGCUUAUCAGCUUGUUGGUGGGGUAGUGGCUUACCAAGGCUUUGACGGGUAGCCGGCCUGAGAGGGUGACCGGCCACAUUGGGACUGAGAUAAGGGCCAGACUCCUACGGGAGGCAGCAGUGGGGAAUAUUGCACAAUGGGCGGAAGCCUGAUGCAGCAACGCCGCGUGCGGGAUGACGGCCUUCGGGUUGUAAACCGCUUUCGCCUGUGACGAAGCGUGAGUGACGGUAAUGGGUAAAGAAGCACCGGCUAACUACGUG